rnacentral:rRNA from 1 species
UACGGAGGGUGCAAGCGUUAUCCGGAUUUACUGGGCUUAAAGGGCGUGUAGGCGGGUUUUUAAGUCAGUGGUGAAAUCUCCGGGCUCAACCCGGAAACUGCCAUUGAUACUAUUAGUCUUGAAUUCUGUUGAGGUAGGCGGAAUAAGUCAUGUAGCGGUGAAAUGCUUAGAUAUGACUUAGAACACCAAUUGCGAAGGCAGCUUGCUAAACAGAUAUUGACGCUGAGGCACGAAAGCGUGGGGAUCAAACAGG